rnacentral:misc_RNA from 1 species
GUCGUAACAAGGUUUCCGUAGGUGAACCUGCGGAAGGAUCAUUAACGUUAUCAAAUUCAACUCGAAUCAUAAAUUUCAAAACCCGUAGUAGUUAUCAUAUCCAAAAUUUUUUUUGAGAUCGUCCCUUGCAAUUAAAAACAAGGGACAGGUGCGAACCGAAGAGGUGAAGGUGCCUAGCCUUACCGUAAAUGUUAAAGGGCACGCUAGAUCAGGAUUACGUCGACUCAAACUAUGUUUGAUGUUGCAAGAUAAAAAAAUUAUUUCUAAAACUUUUACAACUUUUAGCAGUGGAUGUCUUGGCUCAUA